rnacentral:tRNA from 1 species
ACUUUUUUUAAUAUCAACUUUAUAAGUUAUGAAUUUUUUAUUAUUAGAAAAAACAGUA